GUCUGUUCUGCAGCGGGUCCGUGCUCCACACCACUCCUUUGCCCUCUACCCCUACCACUGCUUCGUUGCCCACGACAACGCCACAUGCGCCCUCAGCUUCUGCCACGCAUCCAGAUCAGUAUCAACCCCAGCCUGUGUGCCCGGAGCUGGGUGUUGUCUGCGGGCCAGGCAGACCUGGUGAGAGACCACUGCCUCAGGGCCUUGAACAGUUCCCACAUUAACAAGAUGGUGCAGGAGACCGAGGCCCAGUUCAGCACCAUGUUCAGCCUGGAAGCCACAAACAGCCAGGGGGACGCCAGCACCGUCAGACACCACAGAGAAGCUAUAGGUUACUGGAGUUCUGCUCCUUGUAACUCCCCCUCAGUACUGAAAUGUGCUCCUCUCUCCACUUCCUAAAGAAUAAUAUUAGGGCUGCAUUCUAAAUUGGAAUUCACACAUGGAACAUACAUGUCAAAAUAAGAUUUGCAUGGAAGUUUGAGUUACAGGAGGGGAUCUCAAGGUAGGAUCCAGCCCCCAAGGAAUAUACUUGGCUGCUUUGUUUGGACAGUAAGCCCAUUCUAAUUUAUAAUAGUAUAUGCCAUUUAGAAGAUUAUUUUAUCCAAAGUGACUUAGUCAUGCGCGCAUGCAUUUUACGUAUGGUUGGUCCCGGGAAUUGAACCCACUUCCCUGAUGUUACAAGCACCAUGCUUUUCCAACUGAGCUACAAAGGACCACAAUUGUUUUAUAUUGAGCUUUUUUUGAGAAGGAAAAAUAAAUGCUAUUUUACUAGAACUUUUAUUUGUAUAUGAAUACAUUGUAAACUGAGGACUCACUUGAAGGUUCUUAUAGAACCCAUACACUGCAUCAUUGCAACGCCAUGGCACUUUAGGGUUUUUCUGGUCAUUCAUUCUUAUCUUCUGCCUUUCUUGCCACCGUUCCUUUUCUAUCUCACACUUUCAGGUGCACCGUUUCUGUUUAUCAGGCAUACACCAUGUUUUACAUUUGUCUCUGAGCCAAUGAGUUAAUACUUUGUCUGAGGGUUUGUCUGUCAAUCUAAUUUUAUAAAAAUACAUAUUUUCUGUCCUUUCUAAAUCUCUGAGCCCUUUUUCCUCGUAUUCCCAAUUCCCCUAUAGUGUAGUACCAGGGACCUAGGUCAAGGCCUCCGGGAGUUAGUGAUUGUAAUGAAAGUCUGUAGUUAAGCCUGUAGUGAGUAACUAACUGUAAAGAACGCCUAAUGUGUGUAAUCGUGGGCUAUCUGCAGUGAUCCAUCCCUGUCUGAUUGAAUGUAGCCACCAUUUGACUUCUACCCCAUUUGAGAGCUGUUGAUGGUGGGAAAGGGUCCAGGGAGGAAUGGACUUGGAGGUAAU
rnacentral:lncRNA from 13 species